AGUUUGAGUUAAAAUGUUUUAGCUAGCUAAUAUUUUGAAUCAAUGUAGGUUCAGCUCAUACCAUUCCAAAGGGUUCUUCUGUUAAUCUUUCAGAAUAGAACCUGGUUGCACUGCACACUGAUAUUUUGAGUCAUUAUUUUAUAGAUUAAAAAUAAACCCUAUGGUCUUGUUUACAGCAGUAGAGUGCACAUUGGUUCCAUAAGUGAGCUUGAGUUCCAAGAUCAAUUUUACUCCUCAAAUUUGAGAGAUUGCAAAUUUGCUAAUUCAUUAGAUACCUAGAUUUUUGAGGUAAGAAUAAUAUUGAUCUCUGUUUUUGUAACAACUAAUUUGCCCAUAGAUCAGACUUAUGAAAUAAAAGGAACUUCUUAAUAUAUGCUUAGUAAUCCCAGGAUAUUUCUUAAGCUAAUGUAUUUGUCUCAUGUUUUCAAUCAUUUCAUGCAUCUGAAAAUCCUUAAGUGCAGAGGAAGGAGUACACACAUAGCAUUGCUUUUUUGGUUGGGUUGGGUGGGGGUUUUUCUUGGACUAACAUCUUUAAGCAAUUUUCACUUGCAGUAGAAAUGAUGUUCAGGCUUUAAGAAAAUACUGUGAAAAUACUAGUGAACAGCAUUUUGCUGUAAUGUUGAUUUCAGUUAUUAGGAUGUAAAAAGUUAGUCGCCAGGGUAUGUUAGAUGAGCAUAGUUUUCACUUACUACAAAACAGAUAAUUUUCUGUUUGCAUGCAAUUAUUUUAAUAAGUGUAAAAAUAAAAGUUUGGAAGACAGUGUUUUUACCUUUAUAUCUGGAUUCCCACCCCCCAAUUUAUACUUUGCCUUUUUUUUUUUUUUGUAAUAUCACCUCUUGUGAAUGUGUUGUAAUUUGUAUUGCAUUGAUAUUUUAUCACUUUAAUUUUUUAGAGGUUCUUUAAACCUAAAUAAGAUCUGGGUUUAGCCAUAGCAAAGCAAGUAGGAAAUGAGCUAAGAAAUUUGAAAAAAAAAAAAAAGUCUAAAUUUUAAAUGAAUUUCUAAGAAAAAAGUUACAUUUAGGUCCAUGAGAGCAUAUACAUGUAAAAGCCUAUUCCCGUUCUAGAUAUUAAUAGUCAAUGAAUUGUAAUAUUUCUCAUGAAUGCUAAUAAUGUUUAAAUUCCCAGCUUUAAGAUUCUAGCAUGUGUAUCUGUUUAUGAAACAGAUUGUGUUGCUUCUAUGGCUUGCUGUGUGUAUCUCUUCCAGCAACAGGAUGCUCUCUAAAACAUUCACUGGCCUCUUAGUGUAAUGACUAAAUUUGUGUGUGUGUGCAUGCACGCAUGCACUUGUGUGUGCGUGCACAGAUCUAUAGAUUUUUUUCCCUCAACUUAACAUGUUUUAUCUCAGACAUUAAAAAAAAAAAGUUGAUAUGGAAGACAGCUGUAUUCACUGUCUACCAAUUCAUUGCUUCUGUUGUAAAGCACUUACCCUGUAUAUAUACUGCUUGAUUAUCCAUAUCAUUAUGCCUUCUAGAUAAACAAUCUAGGUUUUGUUGUGUACAUAUGCCCUGUUUUUAAAAUUUAAUUUGCCCUUCUUUCAUGUGUUUCUUUGUCCGUUUCCUUUCCCAGAGAUCAGGCUUGUGCUCGAAUUCUUCCAUACAGCACUUUGUUUCACCCAGAGGCUAGGAAACUGAGUAAAAUUAUUAAAUCUUAUUCUGCACAACUGUGUGCUCAGAUAUCUAACUCAGCCUUCCAAUAUUUUAAAGUAAAUUUGAGUGAUUUAUCUUUGUUAUUGCUUUCGUUGUUAUCCUAGAUUGUCAUCAGAUAAUAAUAACAGAAUGAUUGAAAUAGAAAGAUGUGUAUGCCACUUCUAACUUUUGAUAAAAACUUUUUGGAGAAUUUUUCAAAAUUUGUAUCUUGUAGUGAUAAAAUUAAACAUCUAUUACUUGCUUUUAUAUCUCGGGAAUUAUUUUAUGCACAUUUAUCAACUGGUACUUAUGUUUAAAGUUGGCAUUUUCUUUAAGUUGGGAUUUUCACAUCCACAGAAGGGAGACUUUACUAGAUAAUUUUCAGUAUGCUUUGAUAUCCUGCCUUUUAAACAAUAACCAACAUUUUGAGUUGGGAAAUAAAUAAUUACUUCUGGGGGAAGAAAUGGAACUUUUAACAUUUAAAGUUCAUUGUUUUAAAUGUUAAUUCCAUCCCCAACAUUUUUGUGUUACGUGAGGCUUUAUGAAAGUUAUUGAAAGUAGAAUAUUCAAAGAUCAUUUUCCCAAAUUUAACAAGUUUUGAUUAAAUUUUAAUUAUGAAGUUAAAUUAUAUUUAUGGUGCUGUAUUUUGUAUAAUAUGUAUUGUCCUCAAAUUUCUUGACACUUAUUUCUCAUAUAGUCUUAUCCUUAUUUCCUAUUCCAUCAUUUCUCUCCUGCUUGCUCUUACCUUCAUUUCUCUUUCUUCAAUGAAGACUGUACCUAAUUUAGCAAACUUCGACAAAACUGGCAAUUUAUGAUUCAUUGAUGGGAGAAGUACAGUAGAAAGGCCCUGCAGUUUAGAGUUAAGAUGUGUUUGUUUAUUUAUAUGUGUGCCCAUUUGUUAUUCUUAGACCUAUCUUAAUUAAAUUUAGAAUAUGAUACUUUGACAUAAAAGCAUUGUAAGUAUUUUCUAAAAAAUAAAACUAUUGAUACAUAUUAAAAUUGCCAUUGGUAAUUGACUUUUGAAAUCACAUACAAGAAUAUUUAGAAACCCACUUGGGAAAUGUGGUUUACAUGUGUCACCAGAUACAUAUUAGGCAGUACUACAAAUGUUAAUUCUUUAAACAAUACUGUGGUGAUGGCAAUCAGUAAUUUAUUUCUUUGUCCUGUAACUUAUCAUCCUUGUCUUUUGUAAUUCCUAACAAAGUAUUAACAAAAUUGUACCUUAUGUUUGUUCUUAGUAUCCGUAAAUUUUAAGGUGGAAAAUCUUUCAGUUAAUAGUUGAUGUGAUGUUGUAUAUGGGCAAAAUGUCCAUUAAACUAAAAUUCAGUAAAGAAAGGUAAACUAAACUGGC
ensembl:lncRNA